rnacentral:rRNA from 1 species
AUUGAACGCUGGCGGCAUGCCUUACACAUGCAAGUCGAACGGCAGCACGGGGCAACCUGGUGGCGAGUGGCGAACGGGUGAGUAAUGCAUCGGAACGUGCCAUUGAGUGGGGGAUAACGUAGCGAAAGUUGCGCUAAUACCGCAUAUUCUGUGAGCAGGAAAGCAGGGGACCGCAAGGCCUUGCGCUCUUUGAGCGGCCGAUGUCAGAUUAGCUAGUUGGUGAGGUAACGGCUUACCAAGGCGACGAUCUGUAGCGGGUCUGAGAGGAUGAUCCGCCACACUGGAACUGAGACACGGUCCAGGCUCCUACGGGAGGCAGCAGUGGGGAAUUUUGGGACAAUGGGCGCAAGCCUGAUCCAGCCAUGCCGCGUGAGUGAAGAAGGCCUUCGGGUUG